GGGGGUGAAAGGCUUCGACUCGGGUAAGCAAGGCAAAGGGAGCAUGUAGAGGUUGUCAGGAGGCCUCUCAAAACACCUGGCAAAUAUCAAACGCUGAAAACCUAAAAGUUCCAGCGACAGUGGAUGAGCUCCUUGCGUCCAUGCAAGUGGUCAAAGGGGUAACUCCGCUGGCAAGCGUCGCUUUACAUUAAGCGACCCGUCUCUCAGCUGAUCCUGCGGGGCUGAAAAGACGUCGAUAGCAGGAUGGUCCGUUCCGUUUAGCCUUGAGCGGACCGGAUGAGACUGAUCAAGGAUACGCUCCUGAAAUUCCGCCUCUUGAAGUUCAGGGGAGGAGACUAAAGAUAAGGCUAAACAUGUAGAGCCUUUUGUUUUGAUGUCCGAGGACGCGGGUUCGACUCCCGCCACCUCCACCA
rnacentral:tmRNA from 1 species